rnacentral:sRNA from 1 species
ACCCGCUGAACUUAAGCAUAUCAAUAAGCGGAGGAAAAGAAACCAACAGGGAUUGCCUUAGUAACGGCGAGUGAAGCGGCAACAGCUCAAAUUUGAAAUCUGGUCCCCUUUGGGGGCCCGAGUUGUAAUUUGAAGAGGAUGCUUUUGGCGAGGCGCCGUCCGAGUUCCCUGGAACGGGACGCCGCAGAGGGUGAGAGCCCCGUACGGUCGGACGCCGAGCCUCUGUAAAGCUCCUUCGACGAGUCGAGUAGUUUGGGAAUGCUGCUCAAAAUGGGAGGUAAACCCCUUCUAAAGCUAAAUACUGGCCAGAGACCGAUAGCGCACAAGUAGAGUGAUCGAAAGAUGAAAAGCACUUUGAAAAGAGAGUUAAAAAGCACGUGAAAUUGUUAAAAGGGAAGCGCUUGCGACCAGACUUGCGCCCGUCGGAUCAACCGUCGCUUGCGGCGGCGCACUCCGGCGGGCUCAGGCCAGCAUCAGUUCGUCCGGGGGGAGAAAGGCGGCGGGAAUGUGGCUCUUCGGAGUGUUAUAGCCCGCCGUGUAAUACCCUCGGGUGGACUGAGGACCGCGCGUAUGCAAGGAUGCUGGCGUAAUGGUCGUCAGCGACCCGUCUUGAAACACGGACCAAGGAGUCGUCCUAAUAUGCGAGUGUACGGGUGUCAAACCCCUGCGCGUAAUGAAAGUGAACGGAGGUGAGAGCUUCGGCGCAUCAUCGACCGAUCCUGAUGUUCUCGGAUGGAUUUGAGUAAGAGCAUAUUGGGCCGGACCCGAAAGAAGGUGAACUAUGCCUGUGUAGGGUAAAGCCAGAGGAAACUCUGGUGGAGGCUCGCAGCGGUUCUGACGUGCAAAUCGAUCGUCAAACAUGGGCAUGGGGGCGAAAGACUAAUCGAACCUUCUAGUAGCUGGUUUCCGCCGAAGUU